UGAAACAAGAAAGUGGAGACAACGUUUUGACUCCUCUCUGAGCCUUUAUCAAGUUUUGAUAAAGGCUCAGAGAGGAGCCGAAACAUUGUCUCCAUUUCCUUGUUUC